UACGAAGGGGGCUAGCGUUGCUCGGAAUUACUGGGCGUAAAGGGCGCGUAGGCGGACAGUUUAGUCAGAGGUGAAAGCCCAGGGCUCAACCUUGGAAUUGCCUUUGAUACUGGCUGUCUUGAGUUCGGGAGAGGUGAGUGGAAUGCCGAGUAUAGAGGUGAAAUUCGUAGAUAUUCGGCGGAACACCAGUGGCGAAGGCGACUCACUGGCCCGAUACUGACGCUGAGGCGCGAAAGCGUGGGGAGCAAACAGG
rnacentral:rRNA from 1 species